GUGGGCGUAGCUCAAACGGUUAGAGCGUCUGGUUGUGGCCCAGAAGGCUGGGGGUUCAAGUCCCCUCGCUCACC
rnacentral:tRNA from 1 species